AUGAUGAAGUCAGACUGCAGUAGGGUGGGCUUUUAAUCAGAUGGCUGAUGUCCUUACAAGGAGGAGCAAGUGUGGACACAGAGGCACAGGAAGAACACCCUGUGAAGAGGGUAAGGCAGAGACUGAAGAGAGAGGUCCUGCCACAAACCAAGGCACACCUGGGGCUGAAGAAACUGGAAGAGGCAAGGAGGGAUCCUCCCCUCAUGGCUUUGGGGAGAGCCUUUACUUGACCCACUAACAUUUGGAACUUGGACUUGCAGCAUCCAUUACUGUGGGAGAAGAGAUUUCCACUGUUUUGAGCCUCUGAGUACUCACUAUGGUACUUUGUUUUACAAGCCUUAGGGAACCAACCCAACACCUCUGGAUAUAUUUUGCUUAACUAACCAUCAAAUGAGGUAAUUUCUUACUAAUGUGAGAGCCUCGUAUCUGUGUCACAGGAGGUCCUAUGACUAACUAGGACAUUAUGACAUCACUGCUUGUGGGAGUCAGAAUGCUGGAGAGCAUUCAUCAGAGCUUUGGGACUCGAUCUCCACACUUUCAUCUUUUGCACAUAGAGAAAAUGAGAACAUCAUGUGAAGAUAAGAUAAAGGCAUAGACGAGGGGAUGCAGCAGAAGCCAAGGAAAGCCAGAUGGCCAGCAAGCCACCAGAAGGUGGGAGAGGCCUGGGACAGGUGCUGCCUCUCAGUCUUCAGAAGAAACCCAUCUGCAGAUACUUGAUGUAAGGCUUCAGGCCUCCCAAACCAUGAGAUGAUACAUUGGUGCUGGUUAAGCCAUUCAGUUUGUGGAACUUUGUUCUGGCAGCUCUAACCUGCUAAUACAACAGAGAAACCAUUUGGGGGUUUGAGGAGCACUUGUCUGAUUUAACAUUGAUACUAACAUUGGUUUGGGUUAUUGUUUUAAAAUAAACCAUUAUAAGAGUUUCUCUGUAAGUUAA